rnacentral:rRNA from 1 species
UACGUAGGGUGCAAGCGUUGUCCGGAAUUAUUGGGCGUAAAGAGCUCGUAGGCGGUCUGUCGCGUCGGCUGUGAAAACCCGGAGCUCAACUCCGGGCCUGCAGUCGAUACGGGCAGACUGGAGUUCGGCAGGGGAGACUGGAAUUCCUGGUGUAGCGGUGAAAUGCGCAGAUAUCAGGAGGAACACCGGGGGCGAAGGCGGGUCUCUGGGCCGAUACUGACGCUGAGGAGCGAAAGCGUGGGGAGCAAACAGG